UUUGUGUUUAAUUUUCGUUUUUAAUUACUUACAAAAAAUAUUUAUUUUCUUGAAAAAAAAAAAAUAAAUUGGAAAAUUAUAAUUUUUAAUUGCUAUUUAUUUCGUUUGUAAUUAUGUAUAUUGUAAAUUUCGAGACAAAUUUGACGAAUGUUCAACAAGACAUCAACCCUUACCGGUUAGCCAAUCCCUACUAUCCAUCUUGACUUAAGACCUAACUCGAAACCUUGCUAUUAAUCAAGAUAGUCCCUUAUUUGACGUUUUGACUGUCAGAAUGCAGAUCCAUUGUAUGAUUAUUGUUGUUGUUAAAUUACAUGCAAGUAAUUUGGAGAAAUGCUGGCGAGUUUACGGUACUUAAUCAGAUAUGAGCAUUUCCACAGAAUCGUCAACCAGGACCAAAAAUUAAGAUGUUAAUAAAGAUAAAUUUUUUUUAAUAAGAUUUUACAAAGAUGUUUAAAUUUUAUGAAUAUAAUGUUUUCAUAACCUCUCUCUGGUAUUUUCAUGAAAAAUUUUACCUGAAACCUGAAAACUUAUUUGUUUUUACUUUGAGCUACUCUACAAGUAAUUUUUCUCUUGAGUUAUUUUAUAUGAAUAACUUAUGUUAUGGUUGUACUUUUCCACAAAAUCUCUUUAUUAAUACCAAAUAAGAAGAUAAAAAUGCAAAGAGGCCAAACAAAAAUCGAAUAACGGUAAAUUUUUAUUUUGCUUAUUAUCUACGAUCUAAUCGUACGUUCGCGACCAAAAACGUCAUUUAUUGCUAUUACUUCACAUUGAGUGCAAACAGGUGCCUAAAAAAACAGGAUUAAAGCAAGUUAAGGAUCCGUAAUCAAAAAACAAAAUUACUUUAGGUAAACAGUGCAUCAAACUUUUUAUUUCGAUUUUCAAAAUUUCGUACGUUCGCGACCGUAAGUAUUGAUUUGUUUCUAAACAAAUAUUCUAAUGAAAAUUAUAUGACAAACGAUUGCGAAAAGUGUACAAAAGAUGUAAAAGGGCCGCUAAAAUACUUGUCAAAAAUGGACGCAAAUGUUAAAUGGCAGUACUGGAGGAAAUUGAGCGAUCGUGUAAUUUUGACUUGCACUGUUGCUGCGUUAUCGGACUUGCUCCAUGAACUACAAGUUUAACUGCCAAUUUUUAAGCAACAUUUCUUUAUAAAGCGAGCACAACAAAAUUAUUUUGAAAACAGAUAAAAAGACAGCAUGGCGAAUUUGAAAGUAUUUUUGUUUUUUCGGACGGAAGGAGUAGUCAAUUUAAAAAUAAGUUUAUUGCUUGGAGUUUACCUGAUUUACUGGCCGAAUUUGGUUGUAAAAAACUUGAGUGGAACUAUUUUGCAACGUCACAUGGUAAAGGUGCAGUCGAUGGCGUUGGAGCAGUUGUGAAAAGAAAAAUCUGGCAAAUUACGAGAACAAAAAAUGUCGUUUUAAACGAUGCAUUCUCUUUUUACAGUUGUGCGCAAGAGCACAUUACUGAAGUUAAAAUUUUAUAUAUUGGAGCUGAUACAAUUUUCGAGAUAUCUCCAACUUUAUAUCGAAAAUGGAAGGAUAUACCGAAUAUUGCAGGUAUCAGAAUGGUGCAUUCGAUUUCCCAAGACGAAAAUCUUGAGCUACGAACUGCUCGUACGGCCUAUUCAAAAUAUAACAAUAUUAAAUAAAUAUUUCUUGUGCUUUAUAUAUGUUUAUAUCUUUUCAAUCAAUAAAAGGAAUAUUAGUUUGCUUUAUUUAAGAAAAGGUUUCCAAAAUCCAAAUAAAAACUUGAUGGAAAAAUCGUACGUUCGCGACCGGUACUCACCAUUAUAAAUAAAAAACCAAUGGACAAAUUUCAGCGUGCAAUUAGUUAGGAGGAAGUUACUUUAUUCCAAUUUAAUAUAAAUUAAUCCUUUUAGAAUAUUUUGUUCCAUUUCGCUAUUUUUUGCGUUUUUCUAGUUGCACCCAAAAGCAACUUCCAUUAUUCG